CGUUGCGUGGAGGCGGGGCCCGGGCUGCCCGGAGGAGGUGGCCUUUCGGCCGAGCCCUUUAGGAGCUUGGAGACUCACAGGGGCCGACUGCCGACACGUGUAGACACAGGCCAUCUGCUGACACGUGUAGACAUGGAGCACUUGAAGUGUGGCGGUGCGCCUGGCGAGCCAUAAAAGCCAGAAACAUCCAGGGGCCGGCGUUGUGGCUCAGCAGGGGCGCCGGUUUGAGUCCCGGCUGCUCCACUUCCAAUCCAGCUCUCUGCUGUGGCCUGGGAAAGCAGCAGAGGAUGGCCCAAGCCCUUGGGCCCCUGCACACACAUGGGAGACCCAGAAGAAGCUCCUGGCUCCUGGUCUCAGAAGCACAGCUCUGGCCAUUGCGGCCAUCUGGGGAGUGAACUAGUGGAUGGAAGACCUCUCUCUCUCUCUCUCUCUCUCUCUCUCU